AUGCGAAGGCCAGGAAAUUGCACAGAAAAUCAUAUUGUCACAUCCCUGUCUGGAUUACAGUUUCUCAAUUUGAAUGCUUGUAUUGUGUGCAAAAGUAAUUCUUCCUGUGCUGAAGACUCAUGAAUGGACCUAAGGUUGCCACUUCCGGCCCUGAAAAGUGCCCAGUCUAC